UCCCUGGGGGUCCAGUGGUUGGGACUCUACACUUUCGCUGCUGAGGCCCCAGGUUCAAACCCUGGUGGGGAA
rnacentral:tRNA from 1 species